rnacentral:rRNA from 1 species
AUUGAACGCUAGCGGGAGGCUUUACACAUGCAAGUAGAACGAGUGGCGGACGGGUGAGUAAUAUAUCGGAACGUGCCCAGUAGCGGGGGAUAACUACUCGAAAGAGUGACUAAUACAGCAAACUAUGGGAGCGGCCGAUAUCGGAUUAGCUAGUUGGUGGGGUAAAGGCUCACCAAGGCAAUGAUCCGUCGCUGGUUUGAGAGGACGACCAGCCACGCUGGGACUGAGACACGGCCCAGACUCCUACGGUGGGGAGGAGUGGGGAAUGUUGGACAAUGGUGGAAACCCUGAUCCAGCCAUCCCGCGUGUAUGAGAAGGCCUUCGGGUUGUAAAGUACUUUUGGCAGGGAAGCGGUAUCUGCAGAAUAAGCACCGGCUAACUACGUGCCAGCCGCCGCGGUAAUUC